rnacentral:rRNA from 1 species
CACGUAGGCACCAAGCGUUGUCCGGAUUUAUUGGGCGUAAAGAGCUCGUAGGCGGUUCGGUAAGUCGGGUGUGAAAACUCUGGGCUCAACCCAGAGCCGCCACCUGAUACUGCUGUGACUAGAGUGCGGUAGGGGGAGCGGGGAAUUCCUGGUGUAGCGGUGAAAUGCGCAGAUAUCGGGAGGAACACCAAUGGCGAAGGCAGCUCGCUGGGACGUUACUGACGCUGAGACGCGAAAGCGUGGG